GUGCCAGUGGCCCAAUGGGUUAGUGCAUCUGGCUGUUAACCAGAAGGUUGGUGGUUCGAGACCACCCGGGGAUG